GUAGGUGGCAAGCGUUGUCCGGAAUUAUUGGGCGUAAAGCGCGCGCAGGCGGUUCUUUAAGUCUGAUGUGAAAGCCCACGGCUCAACCGUGGAGGGUCAUUGGAAACUGGAGAACUUGAGUACAGAAGAGGAAAGCGGAAUUCCACGUGUAGCGGUGAAAUGCGUAGAGAUGUGGAGGAACACCAGUGGCGAAGGCGGCUUUCUGGCCUGUAACUGACGCUGAGGCGCGAAAGCGUGGGGAGCAAACAGGGGGUUAGAUACCCUGGUAGUCCACGCCGUAAACGAUGAGUGCUAAGUGUUAGGGGGUUUCCCGCCCCCUUAGUGCUGCAGCUAACGCAUUAAGCACUCCGCCUGGGGAGUACGGCCGCAAGGCUG
rnacentral:rRNA from 1 species